UUUCCGUAGGUGAACCUGCGGAAGGAUCAUUAUCGUAUAACGGAGGUGCCGGGGCUGUCGCUGACCUUCAAAAAGGUUGUGCACGCUCGAGUGCUCUCUCACAUCCAUCUCACCCCUUUGUGCAUCACCGCGUGGGUCCCUCUUUGCGGAGAGGGUCUGCGUCUUCACAUAAAAAACUCAAUGUCGUGUAGAAUGUCUUUUUUCGUGGUCACACGCGAUCAAUACAACUUUCAACAACGGAUCUCUUGGCUCUC
rnacentral:misc_RNA from 1 species